ACGAACGCUGGCGGCGUGCCUAAUACAUGCAAGUCGCACGCUUCUUUCCUCCCGAGUGCUUGCACUCAAUUGGAAAGAGGAGUGGCGGACGGGUGAGUAACACGUGGGUAACCUACCCAUCAGAGGGGGAUAACACUUGGAAACAGGUGCUAAUACCGCAUAACAGUUUAUGCCGCAUGGCAUAAGAGUGAAAGGCGCUUUCGGGUGUCGUUGAUGGAUGGACCCGCGGUGCAUUAGCUGGUUGGUGAGGUAACGGCUCACCAAGGCCACGAUGCAUAGCCGACCUGAGAGGGUGAUCGGCCACACUGGGACUGAGACACGGCCCAGACUCCUACGGGAGGCAGCAGUAGGGAAUCUUCGGCAAUGGACGAAAGUCUGACCGAGCAACGCCGCGUGAGUGAAGAAGGUUUUCGGAUCGUAAAACUCUGUUGUUAGAGAAGAACAAGGACGUUAGUAACUGAACGUCCCCUGACGGUAUCUAACCAGAAAGCCACGGCUAACUACGUG
rnacentral:rRNA from 1 species